GACAGAUCCUCUCUUACACCGUGUC
rnacentral:piRNA from 1 species